rnacentral:rRNA from 1 species
UACGUGGGGUGCAAGCGUUAUCCGGAUUUACUGGGCGUAAAGAGUGCCGUAGGCGGAUGGGUAAGUGUUUGGUUAAAGAUUCUGGCUCAACCAGAAGAAUGCUAGGCAAACUACCUGUCUUGAAGGUUGUCGGGAGUAUCGGAAUUCUCGGUGGAGGGGUGAAAUCCGUUGAUAUCGAGAGGAACACCAAAGGCGAAGGCAGAUACUUAGACAACUCUUGACGCUGAUGGACGAAAGCUAGGGGAGCGAAAGGG